AAAAUCCUAGUUAACAUUAGUUAACAUUAGCCAAAAUAGAUCUCCAUAAUUUACAAAAUGACUAGUAAACAUAAGCCAAAAUACUAGUGCAAAGCUAAGUUUAUAAGUCAUAACAUAAGACUGUAUGAUUAAUAAAAUACAUCCAUGUUAACGUUAAUAAAAUACAUCCAUGUUAACAUUAGCCAAAAUCCUCAUCCGCUUGCGUUGUCUCUUAAAAGUCUUUGGACGAACACUUUCUU
rnacentral:lncRNA from 1 species